AGCUUUGCGCAGUGGCAAUAUCAUAGCCAAUGAGGUCCUACCGAGGCGUGGUUAUUGCUAAUUGCUCAAGCUGAAGCUUGAUGAAAGUGGAGGAGCUGUGUUCCCAUUAGGGAACAGCUGCUGGCUUAUUUUUUGUCGGGUGCUUCGCAC
ensembl:snRNA U4 U4 spliceosomal RNA